rnacentral:lncRNA from 1 species
UCAGUUUAGGGUUUAAAACCCUAAUGCUGACUAAAGGGAAGAGUUCAGUUUAGGGUUUAAAACUCUAAUCCUGAUUAAAUGGAAGAGUUCAGUUUAGGGUUUAAAACCCUAAUGUUGACUAAAUGGAAGAGUUCAGUUUAGCGUUUAAAACCCUAAUGCUGACUAAAGGGAAGAGUUCAGUUUAGGGUUUAAAACCUUAAUGUUGACUAAAUGGAAAGAGUUCAAUUUAGGGUUUAAAACCCUAAUGCUGACUAAGGGGAAGAGUUCAGUUUAGGGUUUAAAACCCUAAUGCUGACUAAUAGAAAAAGUUCAGUUUAGGGUUUAAAACCCUAAUGCUGACUAAAUGGAAAAAGUUCAGUUUAGGGUUUAAAACCCUAAUGCUGACUAAAGAGAAAAAGUUCAGUUUAGGGUUUAAAACCCUAAUGCUGACUAAAGGGAAAAGUUCAGUUUAGGGUUUAAAAACCCUAAUACUGACUGAGUGGAAAAAGUUCAGUUUAGGGUUUAAAACCCUAAUGCUGACUAAAUGGAAAAGUUCAGUUUAGGGUUUAAAACCUUAAUGCUGACUGAAUGGUAAAGUUCAGUUUAGGGUUUAAAACCUUAAUGCUGACUAAAGGAAAAAGUUCAGCUUAGGGUUUAAAACCCUAAUGCUGACUGAAGGAAAGAGUUCAGUUUAGGGUUUAAAACCCUAAUGUUGACUGAAGGAACAAAGUUCAGUUUAGGGUUUUAAAACCCUAAUGUUGACUAAAUGGAAAAGUUCAGUUUAGGGUUUAAAACCCUAAUGCUGACUGAAUGGAAAAGUUCAGUUUAGGGUUUAAAACCCUAAUGCUGACUGAAUGGAAAAAGUUCAGUUUAGGGUUUAAAACCCUAAUGCUGACUGAAUGGGAAAAUUCAGUUUAGGGUUUGAAACCCUAAUGCUGACUAAAGGAAAAAGUUCAGUUUAGGGUUUAAAACCCUAAUGCUGACUGAAGGAAAAGAUCAGUUUAAGGUUUAAAACCCUAAUGCUGACUGAAUGGAAAAGAGUUCAGUUUAGGGUUUAAAACCCUAAUGCUGACUGAAUGAAAAAAGUUCAGUUUAGGGUUUAAAACCCUAAUGCUGACUAAAGGAAAGAGUUCAGUUUAGGGUUUAAAACCCUAAUGCUGACUAAAUGGCAAAGAGUUCAGUUUAGGGUUUAAAACCCUAAUGCUGACUGAGUGGAAAAAGUUCAGUUUAGGGUUUAAAACCCUAAUGCUGACUAAAUGGAAAGGUUUAGUUUAGGGUUUAAAACCCUAAUGCUGACUAAAUGGCAAAGAGUUCAGUUUAGGGUUUAAAACCCUAAUGCUGACUGAGUGGAAAAAGUUCAGUUUAGGGUUUAAAACCCUAAUGCUGACUAAAUGGAAAAGUUCAGUUUAGGGUUUAAAACCCUAAUGCUGACUGAAUGGAAAAAAGUUUAGUUUAGGGUUUAAAACCCUAAUGCUGACUGAAUGGGAAAA